rnacentral:rRNA from 1 species
UGGGGAAUUGUUCGCAAUGGGCGCAAGCCUGACGACGCAACGCCGCGUGGGGGAUGAAGGUCUUCGGAUCGUAAACCCCUGUCGAAUGGGACGAAUAGCCCGCGAAUUAAUACCUCGUGGGAAUGACGGUACCGUUAAAGGAAGCCACGGCUAACUCUGUGCCAGCAGCCGCGGUAAUACAGAGGUGGCAAGCGUUGUUCGGAAUUACUGGGCGUAAAGGGCGCGUAGGCGGCCAUCUAAGUCAGACGUGAAAUCCCCCGGCUCAACCUGGGAACUGCGUCUGAUACUGGGAGGCUAGAGUUUGGGAGAGGGAUGUAGAAUUCCAGGUGUAGCGGUGAAAUGCGUAGAUAUCUGGAGGAACACCGGUGGCGAAGGCGGCAUCCUGGACCGAUACUGACGCUGAGGAGCGAAAGCCAGGGGAGCAAACGGGAUUAGAUACCCCUGUAGUCCCUGAGCGGGCUGGCAAGGCGCAU